UACGUAGGGACCGAGCGUUGUCCGGAAUCAUUGGGCGUAAAGAGCGUGUAGGCGGCUUGUUAAGUCUUGCGUGAAAUCUCGGGGCUCAACCCCGAGCGGUCGUGAGAAACUGGCAGGCUAGAGUGCGGGAGAGGAGAGUGGAAUUCCUGGUGUAGCGGUGAAAUGCGCAGAUAUCAGGAGGAACACCGGUGGCGAAGGCGGUAGUCUGGGCCGGUACUGACGCUGAGGAGCGAAAGCGUGGGGAGCGAACAGG
rnacentral:rRNA from 1 species